rnacentral:tRNA from 1 species
UACUUUAGUAUAAAAGUACAAGAAUGUUUGAGAUUCUAAGAAAUAGUUAAACUCUAUUAAGUA